rnacentral:rRNA from 1 species
AUUGAACGCUGGCGGCAGGCCUAACACAUGCAAGUCGAACGAGUGGCGGACGGGUGAGUAACGUCUGGGAAACUGCCCGAUGGAGGGGGAUAACUACUGGAAACGGUAGCUAAUACCGCAUACCAUCGGAUGUGCCCAGAUGGGAUUAGCUAGUGGGUGGGGUAACGGCUCACCUAGGCGGCGAUCCCUAGCUGGUCUGCGAGGAUGACCGGCCACACUGGAAUGGGGCCACGGUCCAGACUCCUACGGGAGGCAGCAGUGGGAAAUAUUGCACAAUGGGCGAAAGCCUGAUGCGGCAAUGCCGCGUGUAGGAAGAAGGCGUUCGGGUUGUAAAGUACUUUCAGCGGGGAGGCGUUAUCCGCAGAAGAAGCACCGGCUAACUACGUGCCAGCAGCCGCGGUAAUUC